rnacentral:rRNA from 1 species
UGGGGAAUAUUGCACAAUGGGCGCAAGCCUGAUGCAGCCAUGCCGCGUGUGUGAAGAAGGCCUUCGGGUUGUAAAGCACUUUCAGCGGGGAGGAAGGCGGUGAGGUUAAUAACCUCAUCGAUUGACGUUACCCGCAGAAGAAGCACCGUCUAACUCCGUGCCAGCAGCCGCGGUAAUACGGAGGGUGCAAGCGUUAAUCGGAAUUACUGGGCGUAAAGCGCACGCAGGCGGUCUGUCAAGUCGGAUGUGAAAUCCCCGGGCUCAACCUGGGAACUGCAUUCGAAACUGGCAGGCUAGAGUCUUGUAGAGGGGGGUAGAAUUCCAUGUGUAGCGGUGAAAUGCGUAGAGAUGUGGAGGAAUACCGGUGGCGAAGGCGGCCCCCUGGACAAAGACUGACGCUCAGGUGCGAAAGCGUGGGGAGCAAACAGG